GAGAAUUUAGUUAAUUCAUAACAUCACCUUGUCAAGAUGAAAUAAUAAGUUAAAAUCUUAUACUUCUCC
rnacentral:tRNA from 1 species